GAGUCAGUCAGGCGGCCGCGUCGGCCCUCUCGGGGGCCGCCGAGGAACGUCCGGGCUCCGCAGGGCAGGGUGGUGGGUAACACCCACCCGGGGUGACCCGCGGGACAGUGCCACAGAGAACAGACCGCCUCCCCGUCCGGUUCGCCGGCCGGGGCGGUAAGGGUGAAACGGUGGUGCAAGAGACCACCAGCGUGCCGGGUGACCGGUGCGGCUCGGUAAACCCCACCCGGAGCAAGGCCAGACAGGGAGCGUUCGAGGGCGGCCCGCCCGAGCUCCCGGGUAGGCCGCUGGAGGCGUGCGGCAACGUACGUCCGAGAUGGAUGGUCGCCACCGGCGGGCGGGCAACUGCCCGCCGGGACAGGACCCGGCGUAUCGACUGACUCAU
rnacentral:RNase_P_RNA from 1 species